GAGCUUAUCAUGGCUAACCAUGCAGUCGAGCGGAGAGAGGUAGCUUGCUACUGAUCUUAGCGGCGGACGGGUGAGUAAUGCUUAGGAAUCUGCCUAUUAGUGGGGGACAACAUUUCGAAAGGAAUGCUAAUACCGCAUACGUCCUACGGGAGAAAGCAGGGGAUCUUCGGACCUUGCGCUAAUAGAUGAGCCUAAGUCGGAUUAGCUAGUUGGUGGGGUAAAGGCCUACCAAGGCGACGAUCUGUAGCGGGUCUGAGAGGAUGAUCCGCCACACUGGGACUGAGACACGGCCCAGACUCCUACGGGAGGCAGCAGUGGGGAAUAUUGGACAAUGGGCGCAAGCCUGAUCCAGCCAUGCCGCGUGUGUGAAGAAGGCCUUAUGGUUGUAAAGCACUUUAAGCGAGGAGGAGGCUACUUUAGAUAAUACCUAGAGAUAGUGGACGUUACUCGCAGAAUAAGCACCGGCUAACUCUGUGCCAGCAGCCGCGGUAAUACAGAGGGUGCAAGCGUUAAUCGGAUUUACUGGGCGUAAAGCGCGCGUAGGCGGCUAAUUAAGUCAAAUGUGAAAUCCCCGAGCUUAACUUGGGAAUUGCAUUCGAUACUGGUUAGCUAGAGUGUGGGAGAGGAUGGUAGAAUUCCAGUGUAGCGGUGAAAUGCGUAGAGAUCUGGAGGAAUACCGAUGGCGAAGCAGCCAUCUGGGCCUAACACUGACGCUGAGUGCGAAAGCAUGGGGAGCAAACAGGAUUAGAUACCCUGGUAGUCCAUGCCGUAAACGAUGUCUACUAGCCGUUGGGGCCUUUGAGGCUUUAGUGGCGCAGCUAACGCGAUAAGUAGACCGCCUGGGGAGUACGUCGCCAGACUAAACUCAAUGAAUUGAAGGGGCCGCACAGCGGUGGAGCAUGUGUUUAAUUCGAUGCACGCGAGAAAUACUGAAUGACAUAGUAGAACUU
rnacentral:rRNA from 1 species